rnacentral:tRNA from 4 species
GGAGAGUUGCCGGAGUGGUCGAACGGGACGGAUUCGAAAUCCGUUGUACGGGCAACCGUACCCAGGGUUCGAAUCCCUGACUCUCCGCCA